AGUGAACGCUGGCGGUAGGCCUAACACAUGCAAGUCGAACGGCAGCACAGUAAGAGCUUGCUCUUACGGGUGGCGAGUGGCGGACGAGUGAGGAAUACAUCGGAAUCUACUUUGUCGUGGGGGAUAACGUAGGGAAACUUACGCUAAUACCGCAUACGACCUACGGGUGAAAGCAGGGGAGCUUCGGACCUUGCGCGAUUGAAUGAGCCGAUGUCGGAUUAGCUAGUUGGCGGGGUAAAGGCCCACCAAGGCGACGAUCCGUAGCUGGUCUGAGAGGAUGAUCAGCCACACUGGAACUGAGACACGGUCCAGACUCCUACGGGAGGCAGCAGUGGGGAAUAUUGGACAAUGGGCGCAAGCCUGAUCCAGCCAUACCGCGUGGGUGAAGAAGGCCUUCGGGUUGUAAAGCCCUUUUGUUGGGAAAGAAAAGCAGCAGGUUAAUACCCCGCUGUUCUGACGGUACCCAAAGAAUAAGCCCCGGCUAACUUCGUG
rnacentral:rRNA from 1 species